UAACGCCCUCCUUUCCUGUCUGAAAAGACAGUCUCCUCAUUUGUUCUCGGACAUGCGGGUGGUUUGCCCUGGGUUGUGUGUCCUGAAUUGCAAUUUCUCUGCUAUUCCUGAAUAAUCUCAUCUCUGCUGGUUAACUAUCUGGCCAUUUUAUUUUUAUGGUUGACGGUGGUAAGGCAGUUCUAAGAGCUUUGUGACAUUCAGACUAGAGGCGACCUUGGAAGUGGGGUCCCAGGCUCCUGCAAAAAGGCUGAAGUGAGGACCUCACUAAGUCGGAAGCCAGGGCUCCAGGAAUCCCGAUUCCUCUUUCGUGUCAGCCUCUCAUUCCACAGCCUCCUCCAAAGCUCUCCUUGAACCCCAGCCCAGGAAAGGGGAAGAGUGCGGUGGGUGUCAUUGCUGAGCCCCUGAGACGCGGGGGUGGGGGAACUUCUGCGGAGCAGGGGCCAGAGGCCCAGCGUCAGAUCUCCACUCGGAUUCUUACAGACCAGGACACAGUUGUGGAAUGACGGCUUCCAGAACGCUGAGACAAACACCGCCUCGAAGUUCCUGGGGGAAUAAAGGGAGUAUGUGGACCGCCCUCUGGGGGUGAUGUUGUGCUGUCUGAAGGUGACAAGUAGCAGGUCUGGUUGGUUCGAUGGAGCCUGACAGUACAAAGGGAUGGCUUCCAAGCCAGGCCGGUCAAGGCAGCGACGGCAGUGGCCCUGAGCGCACCAGACCCCCUCGGGAAGCUUCCUUUCACACACAGUCGGUUCGCCCAGCCUGCUCACCCCUCAACCCUUCCUCUGGACCUUGAAAAGUCCUGGACCAAACAGAGGGAGCCAAACUUGACCUUGCAUGUGGAUACCACCAUACUAUUCUAGCAAAAGGAAGAGAGAUUUCCUCAUCACCAGGCAACACACCAGCCAGUGAAAAGCCACCACUCUUGGAACUUCAAGUUUACUCCAAUGGACUUUUCAUGGUUAACACAUGUGAUUGGAGUUUUGCUGCUGUCCUGAAGAAGGAAGAACAGGAGACACUCUGGGAAUCAUGCUGGGAAGAGACUCUUGCCCCAGCGAAUUACAGAGAUGCUAGGACAUUUACAACUUGCUGGAAAUAGUUGCUUAUGGUAAAGGAUGAAGAUUAUGCCUCAAGGCCCCUCAAUAGAUAUUUAACUGGAUGGGAAUAGAGAGUGGAGCUCAUGUGUUCCUUGUGCAAUCCUAGAAUGUCAGAGCUGGAAAGACUCACAGAAGAGACACAUUGUAUAAACAU